rnacentral:tRNA from 1 species
GGGGUUGUGGCUCAGAGGUAGAGUACAUGCCUUGCAUGUGUGAGGCACUGGGUUUGAUCCUCAGCACCA